CUGGCGGCAGGCCUAACACAUGCAAGUCGAGCGCGCCUUCGGGUGAGCGGCGGACGGGUUAGUAACGCGUGGGAACGUGCCCUUCUCUACGGAAUAGCCUCUGGAAACGGAGAGUAAUACCGUAUACGCCCUUUGGGGGAAAGAUUUAUCGGAGAAGGAUCGGCCCGCGUUAGAUUAGGUAGUUGGUGGGGUAACGGCCUACCAAGCCUACGAUCUAUAGCUGGUUUUAGAGGAUGAUCAGCAACACUGGGACUGAGACACGGCCCAGACUCCUACGGGAGGCAGCAGUGGGGAAUCUUAGACAAUGGGGGCAACCCUGAUCUAGCCAUGCCGCGUGAGUGAUGAAGGCCUUAGGGUCGUAAAGCUCUUUCGCCUGUGAUGAUAAUGACAGUAGCAGGUAAAGAAACCCCGGCUAACUCCGUGCCAGCAGCCGCGGUAAUACGGAGGGGGUUAGCGUUGUUCGGAAUUACUGGGCGUAAAGCGCGCGUAGGCGGAUUAGAAAGUUGGGGGUGAAAUCCCGGGGCUCAACCUCGGAACUGCCUCCAAAACUGCUAGUCUAGAGUUCGAGAGAGGUGAGUGGAAUUCCGAGUGUAGAGGUGAAAUUCGUAGAUAUUCGGAGGAACACCAGUGGCGAAAGCGGCUCACUGGCUCGAUACUGACGCUGAGGUGCGAAAGUGUGGGGGAGCAAACA
rnacentral:rRNA from 1 species